ACGGAUGCCUCCUGCCUCCCCCAUAGUGUUUGACUGCCUCAGAGUGCAUCCUCUUACUCUAUCCCCAAUCCUCACCAGUCCCAAGGAGUGCUGCGCCUAAACCAACCCCCUCCGAAACGCUGUGCUCUUACUUUGAGUUCCUCAGAUGAUCGUUCUUUUAGCUUUGUUUGCAUCUACUGUAUAUAAGAUCUCCUGAUAUUGCCAAGGAUGUCCUGUUGACUUGUGGAAAAAACGAAAGUGACCAUUGUUUGACAGCCCAAAAUGAUCCAGCCUCCACCAUAACGAACAGCUCUUGUUGCUCCAACAGUUCUGUUGAGACCUGUGGUGGGCAGGGUUCUAAACGUGACCGUUCCUUGUCCUCAUGUAUCUUGCCCUCUCAGUCCUGUCACAAGCCUUCAUCUCCAAAACAACCUUGCCGCGG